GGUCCAGUGCCUUCUUCAUCAUGUGCUCACAGUGCUCACCGAUCUUCUGAUGUAGCUUCCACCCCCUCCCCAGCUCUCCGGCAGACGCAAACCACCCUCAGAACUCCACCCGGGACAUCACCCAGAAGGUUUUCUCUGUUGCUGUCGCUUUCAUUUUCUUCUUUGGUCUGCCUUUUAUGUCAGUAUCUGGUUUCUAAGUGUAAGAAAGAAAGGAGGGCGUGGAGAUUUCAGUUCCCAGCAUGGAUGGCAGCAAUAGUAUCUCCUCUUCUGGUGCUCAUCAGUGCCUCCUGUUUCUAGGAAACUGCAGCAUUUCGGUUUGAUUUGAAUCUGGAUGAAGUCGAAGCGUCCCCUCUAAGUUCAGCAUGGGGACUGGUUCGCAGACGCAAUCAUUUCAGUUAUCAUCAGUUCUCAACAGGUUUCAUGCAGGUUCAAGGCUUGCUUUGGAGACAAAUCACUGAGGUCCAUGGCAGGUAUAGAGUGGAGUUCAAAUCUGCUCUUUGAGAAGAGAAGCCCAGAAGAGAGUGGAUUCUUGAAGCCCCAUGGAGGGCUAGCUACAUUUUACCUGGAGACAAGAUAAUCUGAGGGGCGAAGCCAGUGAUGCAGAGCACCAAGACUCAGAAGAUGAAUAUUGUGCCUGCUUUGGCGAGACAUGGUUCAGACUCAGAAGGAGUAUGUAACGAUAAUAAAGAGAAGAUAUGAUGAUA
rnacentral:lncRNA from 1 species